rnacentral:rRNA from 1 species
GAUGAACGCUGGCGGCGUGCCUAAUACAUGCAAGUCGAGCGAACAGACGAGGAGCUUGCUCCUCUGACGUUAGCGGCGGACGGGUGAGUAACACGUGGAUAACCUACCUAUAAGACUGGGAUAACUUCGGGAAACCGGAGCUAAUACCGGAUAAUAUAUUGAACCGCAUGGUUCAAUAGUGAAAGACGGUUUUGCUGUCACUUAUAGAUGGAUCCGCGCCGCAUUAGCUAGUUGGUAAGGUAACGGCUUACCAAGGCAACGAUGCGUAGCCGACCUGAGAGGGUGAUCAGCCACACUGGAACUGGGACACGGUCCGGACUCCAAAGGGAGGCAGCAGUAGGGGAUCUUCCGCAAUGGGCGAAAGCCUGACGGAACAACACCACGUGAGUGAUGAAGGUCUUCGGAUCUUAAAACUCUGUUAUUAGGGAAGAACAAAUGUGUAAGUAACUAUGCACGUCUUGACGGUACCUAAUCAGAAAGCCACGGCUAACUACGUG